rnacentral:rRNA from 1 species
AGUUUGAUCCUGGCUCAGAACGAACGCUGGCGGCAGGCUUAACACAUGCAAGUCGAACGCCCCGCAAGGGGAGUGGCAGACGGGUGAGUAACGCGUGGGAAUCUACCGUGCCCUGCGGAAUAGCUCCGGGAAACUGGAAUUAAUACCGCAUACGCCCUACGGGGGAAAGAUUUAUCGGGGUAUGAUGAGCCCGCGUUGGAUUAGCUAGUUGGUGGGGUAAAGGCCUACCAAGGCGACGAUCCAUAGCUGGUCUGAGAGGAUGAUCAGCCACAUUGGGACUGAGACACGGCCCAAACUCCUACGGGAGGCAGCAGUGGGGAAUAUUGGACAAUGGGCGCAAGCCUGAUCCAGCCAUGCCGCGUGGGUGAAGAAGGCCUUCGGGUUGUAAAGCCCUUUUGUUGGGAAAGAAAAGCAGUCGGUUAAUACCCGAUUGUUCUGACGGUACCCAAAGAAUAAGCACCGGCUAACUUCGUGCCAGCAGCCGCGGUAA